rnacentral:tRNA from 1 species
GCGCGAGCGGCUAACCCAUUGUUUCAAUUACCCUGAUUUUCCAUCAAUCGGUCUUUUAAUCAGGUGGUCGAUGGUUCGAGUCCAUCAGGGCGCACCA